AUUGAACGCUGGCGGCAGGCCUAACACAUGCAAGUCGAGCGGAUGAAGGGAGCUUGCUCCUGGAUUCAGCGGCGGACGGGUGAGUAAUGCCUAGGAAUCUGCCUGGUAGUGGGGGAUAACGUCCGGAAACGGGCGCUAAUACCGCAUACGACCUGAGGGAGAAAGUGGGGGAUCUUCGGACCUCACGCUAUCAGAUGAGCCUAGGUCGGAUUAGCUAGUUGGUGGGGUAAAGGCCUACCAAGGGGACGAUCCGUAACUGGUCUGAGAGGAUGAUCAGUCACACUGGAACUGAGACACGGUCCAGACUCCUACGGGAGGCAGCAGUGGGGAAUAUUGGACAAUGGGCGAAGGCCUGAUCCAGCCAGGCCGCGUGUGGGAAGAAGGUCUUCGAAUUGUAAAGCACUUUAAGUUGGGAGGAAGGGCAGUAAGUUAAUACCUUGCUGUUUUGACGUUACCAACAGAAUAAGCACCGGCUAACUUCGUG
rnacentral:rRNA from 1 species